UGAGGCAUGGCCAAGUGGUAAGGCAACGAGUUUUGGUCCCGCUAUGCGGAGGUUUGAAUCCUUCCAUCCCAG
rnacentral:tRNA from 1 species